rnacentral:snRNA from 1 species
GCUUGAAAAUCGGACGUC